GAUGAACGCUAGCGGCAGGCUUAAUACAUGCAAGUCGAGGGGUAGCAAGAUUGUAGCAAUACAAUUGUUGACGACCGGCAAACGGGUGCGGAACACGUACACAACCUUCCUACAAGUGGGGAAUAGCGCAGAGAAAUUUGGAUUAAUACCCCCUAACAUAGCGAUGUGGCAUCACAUUGCUAUUAUAGCUUCGGCGCUUGUUGAUGGGUGUGCGGCUGAUUAGAUAGUUGGCGGGGUAACGGCCCACCAAGUCUACGAUCAGUAGCUGAUGUGAGAGCAUGAUCAGACACACGGGCACUGAGACACGGGCCCGACUCCUACGGGAGGCAGCAGUAAGGAAUAUUGGACAAUGGACGCAGGUCUGAUCCAGCCAUGCCGCGUGAAGGAUUAAGGUCCUCUGGAUUGUAAACUUCUUUUAUAAGGGACGAAAAAAGGUCUUUCUAGAUCGUCUGACGGUACCUUAUGAAUAAGCACCGGCUAACUCCGUGCCAGCAGCAGCCGCGGUAA
rnacentral:rRNA from 1 species